rnacentral:lncRNA from 1 species
GAGAAACCAUCAUUUGAGAAAAGAUUUUUGAAAGAUUAUUGUUUCAAAUGCAGCAGUCUUCUCUGAUCCUUUAGAAAAAAAUUGAUAGAGCAAGAUCGUGGAUAAAAGACAUGAAAAAAGAAGGAAAAAAAAAGAGAUUUAGUUCACUAUUUUGAUGGGUUUCAGUAGUGGAUGUUUUUUAAAGGGGUAGAUGGCUUUGAUUUUUGGGUC